GGUUAAGCGACUAAGCGUACACGGUGGAUGCCCUGGCAGUCAGAGGCGAUGAAGGACGUGCUAAUCUGCGAAAAGCGUCGGUAAGGUGAUAUGAACCGUUAUAACCGGCGAUGUCCGAAUGGGGAAACCCAGUGCAAUUCGUUGCACUAUCGUUAACUGAAUACAUAGGUUAACGAGGCGAACCGGGGAACUGAAACAUCUAAGUACCCCGAGGAAAAGAAAUCAACCGAGAUUCCCCAGUAGCGGCGAGCGAACGGGGAGCAGCCCAGAGUCUGAAUCAGCUUGUGUGUUAGUGGAACGGUCUGGAAAGUCCGACGGUACAGGGUGAUAGUCCCGUACACCAAAAUGCACAGGUUGUGAACUCGAAGAGUAGGGCGGGACACGUGGUAUCCUGUCUGAAUAUGGGGACCAUCCUCCAAGGCUAAAUACUCCUGACUGACCGAUAGUGAACCAGUACCGUGAGGGAAAGGCGAAAAGAACCCCGGCGAGGGAGUGAAAAAGAACCUGAAACCGUGUACGUACAAGCAGUGGGAGCACCUUCGGGUGUGACUGCGUACCUUUGUAUAAUGGGUCAGCGACUUAUAUUCUGUAGCAAGGUUAACCGUAUAGGGAGCCGCAGGGAAACCGAGUCUUAACUGGGCGUUAAGUUGCAGGGUAUAGACCCGAAACCCGGUGAUCUAGCCAUGGGCAGGUUGAAGGUUGGGUAACACUAACUGGAGGACCGAACCGACUAAUGUUGAAAAAUUAGCGGAUGACUUGUGGCUGGGGUGAAAGGCCAAUCAAACCGGGAGAUAGCUGGUUCUCCCGAAAGCUAUUUAGGUAGCGCCUCGUGAACUCAUCUUCGGGGUAGAGCACUGUUUCGGCUAGGGGUCAUCCCGACUUACCAACCCGAUGCAAACUACGAAUACCGAAGAAUGUUAUCACGGGAGACACACGGCGGGUGCUAACGUCCGUCGUGAAGAGGGAAACAACCCAGACCGCCAGCUAAGGUCCCAAAGUCAUGGUUAAGUGGGAAACGAUGUGGGAAGGCACAGACAGCCAGGAUGUUGGCUUAGAAGCAGCCAUCAUUUAAAGAAAGCGUAAUAGCUCACUGGUCGAGUCGGCCUGCGCGGAAGAUGUAACGGGGCUAAACCAUGCACCGAAGCUGCGGCAGCGACACUAUGUGUUGUUGGGUAGGGAGCGUUCUGUAAGCCUGCGAAGGUGACCUGUGAGGGUUGCUGGAGGUAUCAGAAGUGCGAAUGCUGACAUAAGUAACGAUAAAGCGGGUGAAAAGCCCGCUCGCCGGAAGACCAAGGGUUCCUGUCCAACGUUAAUCGGGGCAGGGUGAGUCGACCCCUAAGGCGAGGCCGAAAGGCGUAGUCGAUGGGAAACAGGUUAAUAUUCCUGUACUUGGUGUUACUGCGAAGGGGGACGGAGAAGGCUAUGUUAGCCGGGCGACGGUUGUCCCGGUUUAAGCAUGUAGGCUGAUUGUCCAGGCAAAUCCGGAUAAUCAAGGCUGAGGUGUGAUGACGAGGCACUACGGUGCUGAAGUAACAAAUGCCCUGCUUCCAGGAAAAGCCUCUAAGCAUCAGGUAACAUCAAAUCGUACCCCAAACCGACACAGGUGGUCAGGUAGAGAAUACCAAGGCGCUUGAGAGAACUCGGGUGAAGGAACUAGGCAAAAUGGUGCCGUAACUUCGGGAGAAGGCACGCUGGUGUGUAGGUGAAGCCCCUGCGGGUGGAGCUGAGACCAGUCGAAGAUACCAGCUGGCUGCAACUGUUUAUUAAAAACACAGCACUGUGCAAACACGAAAGUGGACGUAUACGGUGUGACGCCUGCCCGGUGCCGGAAGGUUAAUUGAUGGGGUUAUCCGUAAGGAGAAGCUCUUGAUCGAAGCCCCGGUAAACGGCGGCCGUAACUAUAACGGUCCUAAGGUAGCGAAAUUCCUUGUCGGGUAAGUUCCGACCUGCACGAAUGGCGUAAUGAUGGCCAGGCUGUCUCCACCCGAGACUCAGUGAAAUUGAACUCGCUGUGAAGAUGCAGUGUACCCGCGGCAAGACGGAAAGACCCCGUGAACCUUUACUAUAGCUUGACACUGAACAUUGAGCCUUGAUGUGUAGGAUAGGUGGGAGGCUUUGAAGCGUGGACGCCAGUCUGCGUGGAGCCAACCUUGAAAUACCACCCUUUAAUGUUUGAUGUUCUAACGUUGGCCCCUGACCGGGGUUGCGGACAGUGUCUGGUGGGUAGUUUGACUGGGGCGGUCUCCUCCCAAAGCGUAACGGAGGAGCACGAAGGUUAGCUAAUCCUGGUCGGACAUCAGGAGGUUAGUGCAAUGGCAUAAGCUAGCUUGACUGCGAGCGUGACGGCGCGAGCAGGUGCGAAAGCAGGUCAUAGUGAUCCGGUGGUUCUGAAUGGAAGGGCCAUCGCUCAACGGAUAAAAGGUACUCCGGGGAUAACAGGCUGAUACCGCCCAAGAGUUCAUAUCGACGGCGGUGUUUGGCACCUCGAUGUCGGCUCAUCACAUCCUGGGGCUGAAGUAGGUCCCAAGGGUAUGGCUGUUCGCCAUUUAAAGUGGUACGCGAGCUGGGUUUAGAACGUCGUGAGACAGUUCGGUCCCUAUCUGCCGUGGGCGCUGGAGAAUUGAGGGGCUGCUCCUAGUACGAGAGGACCGGAGUGGACGCAUCACUGGUGUUCGGGUUGUCAUGCCAAUGGCACUGCCCGGUAGCUAAAUGCGGAAGAGAUAAGUGCUGAAAGCAUCUAAGCACGAAACUUGCCCCGAGAUGAGUUCUCCUGAGACUUUAAGUCUCCUGAAGGAACGUUGAAGACGACGACGUUGAUAGGCCGGGUGUGUAAGCGCAGCGAUGCGUUGAGCUAACCGGUACUAAUGAACCGUGAGGCUUAACCUU
rnacentral:rRNA from 1 species